UCCCUGGAGGGACUAGUGGUUAGGCCACAGUGCUCUCACCGCUACGGCCCGGGUUCGAUCCCUCGCCAGGGAA
rnacentral:tRNA from 1 species